UACGAAGGAUGCGAGCGUUAUCCGGAUUUAUUGGGUUUAAAGGGUGCGUAGGCGGCACUGUUAGUCAGGCGUGAAAGUCCUGGGCUCAACCUGGGAACUGCGCUUGAUACGGCAGAGCUAGAGGAUGGAAGAGGCUCGCGGAAUUCCCAGUGUAGAGGUGAAAUUCGUAGAUAUUGGGAAGAACACCGGUGGCGAAGGCGGCGAGCUGGUCCAUUACUGACGCUGAGGCGCGACAGCGUGGGGAGCAAACAGG
rnacentral:rRNA from 1 species